rnacentral:rRNA from 1 species
UACGGAGGGUGCGAGCGUUGUCCGGAAUCAUUGGGCGUAAAGGGCGCGUAGGUGGCCCGGUAAGCGUGCGGUGAAAGCUUGGGGCUCAACCCCGAGUCGGCCGUGCGAACUGCUGGGCUUGAGCACUGUAGAGGCAGGCGGAAUUCGGGUGUAGCGGUGGAAUGCGUAGAGAUCCGGAAGAACACCGGUGGCGAAGGCGGCCUGCUGGGCAGUAGCUGACACUGAGGCGCGACAGCGUGGGGAGCAAACAGG